ensembl:lncRNA
CAAAAGUCAAACACUGCAAUAAUAUCAUUGUAAUAGUCUAUGGCUUUUUUGUCCUUGAGAGGGGGCAAACUAUGCAGUACUAGCACUUCUGCUAAAGUCAUAUUAGCUAGGUAAUUCUUACUACUCCGUCUGUUUGCUUCUGAUUUUGCACACAAACAACAGAGUGUUAAAAUUUAUAGUUGAUUACGUACUGAACAUUUUUAUUGUAAUGCAGUUAUUUAUGUGUUUGGCUGAGAGUUGAUUAGACGAACAAAUACCAAGUGUUAAACCUGCUAUUUGAAUACCAAAGACAAGUUGAGGCCUGCGCAAGGAAUCAUGUGCCAAUGUAUUUUGGUAAUAUCACAACCUGUCUCAAAAAAAAAAAAGAAAGAGAGAGAGAGACCACAUCCAAAUUUUGCACAUCCAAUUGAUUAAAAUGAUUUAACGAUUCACCAGAAAAAAGACUGGUAUUUUCACUGCAGUGAACCAGACACUUAAAGGGUAACUAGACCCCAAAAUGAAAAUGUUGUCAUUAAUCACUUACCCCCAUGUCGUUCCAAACCCGUAAAACUUUUAUUCGUCUUCAAAUUUACGAUUUAACUGUUUAUUGAAAUAGCAGUAUUUUGAUGUAGGAAACUGGCCGUAUUUUUACAGCAAUUGUUUUUACAGUUUACCAUGAGUAAUAGUGCAACACAUACAGCUGACAAUAAUUCUAAUACUUAUUGCAAUGACAACCAAGAAUCUCCAGAGGCAAUACAGCAAUACAUCUUACAUUCAGUUCCUAAACUAAAUUAUGCCUUAACACUUCAACUUGAUCAUACAGGAAGUGACUUUUAACACCAUUUUUAUACUAUACUUAGCAGCAGUUAGCAUCAAACAAGACCUCAUUGUUGCUGCUAGAUGAUGCUGGUUCGUACUACUGAGUCUACUUAGGAUAAGAUUUAUUCGGGAAGAUAUGACAGCAAAAGAGAUCUGUGGCAAUUCUGGCAAUUUUGGCGACUGGCCUCGCUACUUCUUGUUCUGUGUCUGGGUCGUCGACAUUGCCAUGAUAUUUUUGGUUUAUCACUUGGAAACACGUUUGAAAGAGAUAACUGAAAAUUUCCUAAGGGACAGACAUGAAGAAGAGGACUAUAUCAACUACAGAACAAGCUGAAGCAAUAAUUGAACAAUUAAUGUAAAACUACUCCCAUACAAAUAUGACCGGACAAAGAAAUGAUUUCUUGUAUUGGAGUGUCUUAAUAUAGACCUAUUUCAUUAAAUGAAUUUAUGUUCAUCACAUUCAAAUGUAUAAUUUGUGUGGCAGUCUGCAGUAAAUUAUAAUAAGUACAGCUUGAUAAUGUGUUGCUCAGCUUUUCUGAUAAAAAAAAUACUUUGCUUAUACUGAAAAGAUAAUACACUUGUAUAAUAUCUAAAUACAACGAUUGUAUAUAACCUUUUUUACCUGUCACAAAAAAGCCUGAGUUUCAGGUGGGUCUGGAUAUUAUCCCUAAGUAAACGCUUAAAGGAACUGUUCACUCAAAAUGUGAGAAGACUCAAUAUGUUAUUUUUGUGUAAAAAAUAAUGAUAAAAGUCUCAUCUUCUUUUGUUGACACCUGUGAAGGAUUUUUUUAAUUAAUCAUAACAUUUCUUUUUCUUGCAGUCUUAACAUGUGUAUGCUUUUGAGUACUAAAUGUCCCCAACACUUAAUUUUUAUCCAUGUGUUGCAAUAAAAAGAUGCUGAUGCUGGCCA